UACCCGCAGCACAAGUGGUGGUCAUUAUUAUUGGGCCUAAAGCGUCCGUAGCUGGCUUGUUAGAUGCCUGGGUAAAUCGAUGCGCUCAACGUAUCGAACUCCGGGUAGACCGGCAAGCUUGGGACCGGGAGAGGCGUGAGCUACUCGAGGGGUAGGGGUAAAAUCCUGUAAUCCUUCGGGGAGGACCAGUGGCGAAGGCGUCACGCUAGAACGGCUCCGACAGUGAGGGACGAGGCCCUGGGGCGCAAACCGG
rnacentral:rRNA from 1 species